ACCAUUAAUGUGGCAUUUAAUUUUGCUCCCGCACUAUUAGAGCUGAACGUCUGUCAUAUUGUCUUAGAAAUGUGCGUUUAAACUACUUUGCUGGGACAAGAUUAGACUGUGGUUGCUUUCUAUCGUUCUAGAUCUAGAUGGUGGGUGUAUAUCAGCGCAUUACUGAAAGGAAAUUUGGCAGUAUAUUUCCACCAAGUGAAAACAGCUCGAAGGUCUAAAUUAUAGCAAUAAAACCCCAAACUACAGUCAAGGAGCAGCCCUUAAUUCCAGUGCGUCACGCGCGUUAUCUAAGACCCAUUAUCACCUUCACCCUACUACAGCACCCACAAACCCCUCUCCAGCCAACCUCAUCAAAGUGGGACGACCUGCUGUGACCUCAUCAGCGCUGGCUGACCCAUGAUGACCUCAUCAAAGCAGGACGCCUCACUGAGCUCAGAGACUGACAGGUUGCACUGACCAUCGAGGAGAAAAGCGGCCCAUCAAUUAUCAGAGAGUGCGACACCGAUUUUACUGCUCAGAUAUCGACUCGCAGCGACUGUGGGACAGUAGAAGACUGUGAGAGAGAUGACCAGAGAUCAGACUCGCACUGCGUCUGUCUGGCAGCGUGCGUGGAGACUUUAUGCGUCUCAGUGUGAAAUAAUUCAAGUGGGUGUUUGGAAGAGAUUUUCUUUUUUGGUUAAAUGCGACUGUAUUGCUUCUGUGUGAGAACUUCAGGUGGCACCAUCUGCUUGUCAGAAUUUUUAAGUGUCUAACUGAGAGAUAUACAGUAUAUUAAGUUCUAAUGACAAUGAAGUAGGAUAUGCACAAAGGUUAAUAUAGUAUCA